rfam:Hordeum vulgare subsp. vulgare, WGS project CAJW01000000 data, contig: morex_contig_39972
CUAGUACUCCCUUCGUCCGGAAAUACUUGUCCUAAAAAUGAAUAUAAUAAAUGUAUCUAUAACUAAAAUAAGUCUACAUACACUCAUUUAUAGAACAAGUAUUUCCGAACGAAGAAAGUAUUAU